rnacentral:rRNA from 1 species
UACGAGGGGGCAAGCGUUGUUCGGAAUUAUUGGGCGUAAAGGGUGCGUAGGCGGUUUGGUAAGUCUUAUGUGAAAUCUACAGGCUCAACUUGUAGUCUGCAUGAGAAACUGCCGGGCUUGAGUAUGGGAGAGGUGAGUGGAAUUCCUGGUGUAGCGGUGAAAUGCGUAGAUAUCAGGAGGAACACCUGUGGCGAAAGCGGCUCACUGGACCAUAACUGACGCUGAUGCACGAAAGCUAGGGGGAGCAAAACAGG